rnacentral:rRNA from 1 species
AGCAGCCGCGGUAAUUCCAGCUCCAAUAGCGUAUAUUAAAGUUGUUGCAGUUAAAAAGCUCGUAGUUGAAUUUCGGGGUUAGCAAGUUGGUCGUACCAUCGGUAUGCACUGGCUUUGCUGAUUCCUCCUUCUUGAAGAACUGUGAUGCUAUUAAUUUGGUGUUGCAGGGAAACAGGACUGUUACUUUGAAAAAAUUAGAGUGUUUAAAGCAGGCUAACGCUUGAAUACAUUAGCAUGGAAUAAUGAAAUAGGACGUUUGAUCCUAUUUUGUUGGUUUCUAGGAUUGACGUAAUGAUUAAUAGGGAUAGUUGGGGGCAUUAGUAUUCAAUUGUCAGAGGUGAAAUUCUUGGAUUUAUUGAAGACUAACUACUGCGAAAGCAUUUGCCAAGGAUGUUUUCAUUAAUCAAGAACGAAAGUUAGGGGAUCGAAGACGAUCAGAUACCGUCGUAG